UUUUGUUGCUGGACGCAGACCGGCUACUGUGGACAGAUUGUGAAAGCUGGAAUAAACAGGAGAUGAAUGUUCCAGGUCAUCUUCUGGGUCAGCGCUGAUGAAAGUCCCAGAAGGCACUUGGCCAUUGCAGAGUGGAUGAACCCUAUUUGGAAAACAUAAACACCACGUACCCAUGGUGAAGCAGAUGACAACAGGGAAGAGACAUCAAUUUGACGUAUAUCUUUUUAAAAAGCCUCUCCCCAGCACUACAUGGUUGUCUAACAAACUGAAACACCCGCUCCGCUCGUGUCCAUAAAUAUGACAUCAUGCGUUCAGAGCACGGCGGCAUCGAUCUAUCCGUCGUGAAGAAUGGGGAGAUACUCAUCGCUAUCCUCUGAGGUCUAUCUAUCUCAAGCACAGCCCUUGGGGUCAAUACUGAGCUGAUCAUUUGCUAGAGUUCUGCCUCUUAUUGUAUGUGCUCCUGGUAUCUGGAGUGUGAAAUAUUGACUGCCCCGAUUGGAUCCUACAUGCCAAGAAUGCCAAUUGCAGAGCGGGGCAGGCCGGUGCCAUGAGAGAUUCUCAUUCCGUGCCAAUGCAAUAUUACCCAUGGCUCAAAUCCACAGCCAGUUCCAUCAGCGGCUAUUUAAAUUCAUUUCACCCUGAAUAAUUCUGCAGGUCAGGCCACUGUGUGUGGGGGCACCCAGUUCAAACGCUUUGAGUAGUCGUUUUGAUUGCUAUUUCAAGCAUCAGGGUGAAUUGGAUCAUUUGGAAAGCGGUGGAUGGCGGAUUGCUCUUCUGUAUAUAAAUGACAUGCAUUUAUUUUCUUGGUUCGUAAAAUGGAUGGCUAUUGUAUGCAUUCGGCAUGAGUAACCCACAUAGUCCUUAUUGCACACAUCCUAUUAGGUUACCACUCCAUGAAGCGGUUACCCAUAAUUCAAGACGCCAAACAAUCUAAUUAUAAUAGACCUCUGUAUUAUAAUUAGAUGCAUGGCAUCUGGAAAUGAAUGUUGAAUAAAGUGCCAUGUGUGCCAAAUGCACUAUGACCUUAUCACGUAG
ensembl:lncRNA